rnacentral:rRNA from 1 species
AUGGCACAGUCGUCGGCGGCGGCGAGGAAGCCCUCGGCAGCGCCAACCGUCGUCCUGACUCUUGUCCUGGCCCUCGCCUCCGCGGGCCUCCUCUUCCUCCUAGUCCACCUUUCCCCUUCGUCGCCAUCCGCGCACCCGCACCCCCACCGCCGCCUCCGCCUGCGCGGUGCCCACCUCAGGCACCACCAGAUCCCGUUCGACCCCGUCAUCGCGGACCUCGAGCGCCGCCUUGACGACCGCGAGUGGGAGCGCCUGGCUGCCGCGGGGCUGCACGCGCCGGGCAUGGAGUCUGCCCCCGUCCCAGAGGACCUCGCGGACUACGAGGACGAGUACAUCAAUGACGCCGCGCGGUUCAACAUGACGCUGCGCGUGGCGGCGCUCUUCCCCAAGAUCGACGUCGACCCCGCCGACGACGCCGUGACGGGCGCCGAGCUGGCCGCGUGGAAUCUCGCGUCCGCGCGGCGGGAGGUGCUGCACCGCACCGCCCGGGAGCUCGACAUGCACGACCGCGACCACGACGGCCGCGUCGCCUUCUCCGAGUACGAGAGGCCCAGCUGGGCUUGGCGGUUCGACGAUAAUAACUCAACCAGUGAUGGGAUGGGAUGGUGGAAGGAGGGGCAUUUCAAUGCUGCUGAUAUGGAUGGUGACGGCUUUCUAAAUCUGACGGAGUUUAACGAUUUCUUACAUCCAGCUGAUACUACCAACCUAAAGCUAAUACAUUGGUUGUGCAAAGAAGAAGUCAGGGAAAGAGACAAAGAUAAUGACGGGAAGCUCAAUUUCCAAGAGUUUUAUAAUGGAUUGUUUUAUUCAGUUCGACAUUACGAUGAUGAAACUUCAACAGAUGACUCCAAUGGCUCUGAUGCACCGGCUAGAAAGUCGUUUUCACAGCUUGAUCUGGAUAAUGAUGGGCUUUUGUGA